GGGGGAGACCUGCUCUGCAAAACAGCACUUAGAUUCCCAUCGGAAUGGUGAAACCAAAGCAGACGACAGUUCAAACAAAGAGGCCGCGGAGGAGAAGCCGGAGGAGGACAACGACUACCACCGCAGCGACGAGCAGAUGGGGUUUCACUAUGUUGGCCCGGCUGGUCUCGAACUCCUGACCUCAAAUGAUCCACCCGCCUCAGCCUCCCAAAGUGCUGGGAUUACAGGUGUAAGCCACUGCACCCGGCUGUUUUCUAAACUCUAGAGUUGAACAUUCCUUUAGUUUCCAGCUUCAUAAUUUGGUUCUUAUUAAAAUAAUUUUAAAAUUUUCAAGUUUUUUUUAACCAGCUUUCUAAAUUGUGUUAAAUGCACAUAAAAUAUGCCAUUUUAACCAUUUUCAGGUGUGUGGUUCAGUGGCCUUGGGUACAGACCCAGUGUUAUACGGCCACCACCACCAUCAUCUCCAGAGCCUUUUUAUCUUCCCAAACUGAAGCUCUGCCCCCAUUAAACACUCACUCCCCACCCCGCUC